AACGAACGCUGGCGGCAGGCCUAACACAUGCAAGUCGAACGCCGUAGCAAUACGGAGUGGCAGACGGGUGAGUAACACGUGGGAACGUGCCCAAAGGUACGGAACAACUCCGGGAAACUGGAGCUAAUACCGUAUGUGCCCGAGAGGGGAAAGAUUUAUCGCCUUUGGAUCGGCCCGCGUCUGAUUAGCUUGUUGGUGAGGUAACGGCUCACCAAGGCGACGAUCAGUAGCUGGUCUGAGAGGAUGGCCAGCCACACUGGGACUGAGACACGGCCCAGACUCCUACGGGAGGCAGCAGUGGGGAAUAUUGGACAAUGGGCGCAAGCCUGAUCCAGCCAUGCCGCGUGAGUGAUGAAGGCCCUAGGGUUGUAAAGCUCUUUCGCCAGGGACGAUAAUGACGGUACCUGGAUAAGAAGCCCCGGCUAACUUCGUGCCAGCAGCCGCGGUAAUACGAAGGGGGCUAGCGUUGUUCGGAAUCACUGGGCGUAAAGCGUAUGCAGGCGGAUCGUUAAGUGAGGGGUGAAAUCCCGAGGCUCAACCUCGGAACUGCCUUUCAUACUGGCGAUCUUGGAGUCCCGGGAGAGGUGAGUGGAACUGCGAGUGAAGAGGUGAAAUUCGUAGAUAUUCGCAAGAACACCAGUGGCGAAGGCGGCUCACUGGCCCGGUACUGACGCUGAGAUACNAAAGCGUGGGGAGCAAACAGGAUUAGAUACCCU
rnacentral:rRNA from 1 species